UACGGAGGGGGGCUAGCGUUGUUUCGGAAUUACUGGGGCGUAAAAGCGUACGUAGGCGGUUUUUGUAAGUUUAGAGGUGAAAAGCCCGGGAGCUCAACUUGGAAUUGCCUUUUAAGACUGCAUCACUUUGAACGUCGGAGAGGUGAGUGGAAUUCCGAGUGUAGAGGUGAAAAUUCGUAGAUAUUCGGAAGAACACCAGUGGCGAAGGCGGCUCACUGGACGACUGUUGACGUGAGGUACGAAAGCGUGGGGAAGC
rnacentral:rRNA from 1 species